rnacentral:lncRNA from 1 species
AAGCACUGUGUGGGAUGUUGUCUGCUCAGUGCUGUGGCUGAUUUUCAUGCCCUGUCUUGCCCCAAGACUUACUCACUGAUCCAUACAUUCCUUUACAGGAACGCACCUGGAUUUCUUCUCUUAUUUUCACACUUGCAUAGUUUUUCCUUUUGGAUGAUAAUGGCUCUUAUAAUUGCUAUGUGACAUACAAUCUGAGAGGCCUAUCCCAGUGUGAAAGUUAAUACACGUCACAUGCUCAGUCCAAAUCAAGAGUUGAAAAGAGAAGCCUUGCCAGCACAGAACAUCAGCACUUUUUAAUUAUGCUCUUUGUGGUAAAAGGUGGGCCAGUGAGAUGACCUACAGGAGGAAGUCAGCACUUUUUGAGUUUCUUCAAAGGAGACUUUUGAAACUAAGAAAACCUGUAUUUUCACAGAAAAAAAUCAAACAGUAAAUGACCUAAUGCCUGUUACAAAGACACCUGAUUAAAGCGAAUUCAACGUACAGUUUAGAAUAGACUAGCAUCAAAUGGUCUGAAAGGGAACAGAUGAACCAAGAAAAUUGAAAGUCAAUGGAAAUCAUAAAUACCUCCUGAUUACAUGGAUUUUUCCCAGUCACUUUUCAAAAGUAACAAGGAACAUAUGAUCUCUCUGC